CCUUGUACACACCCGCCCGUCACACCAUGGGAGUCGGGUUGCUCCAGAAGGCGUUAGUCUAACCGCAAGGGGGACGACGCCCACGGAGUGGUCCAUGACUGGGGUG
rnacentral:rRNA from 1 species